AGAAACAGGAUAGCGUUUUUCUGGGGAGAGGAAAUCAAAGACAGGGUAAACAUUAACUAAAAGCAUCUGACAUAUUGUUGGGAAAAAGAAUAGUCAGGCAUAAUCUGACACAAUCCAUUAGGGGAUCGGGUUUUUCAAUUCCUUGGCGCCAGCACGUCCGGAGGGAAGCCACAGUUACAUCUUUGGUGGACUGACCUGAUCGUGGUACAGGCUUGGGGAUGUGCGGUUUGACACACAUUUGAGAGACCCAUCUCAACCUGGAGGGCAUGGACACACAAGCAUAUCCCUGACCCCAAGUGAUUAACUCAAAUGGGCCCUCUACUUUUGCUGUCUCGGGACUCUAUUAAAACUAGGGGGUGUUCUCUCAAUUUCAGCUGUGUGUUACUACUGAAAUGUCAAACAACAGGCAGGUUAAGGUGUUCAAAUGAGCAGUUUAGAAAAUUUAUGGUAAACAAUACCUUACAGAGUUUAAUCUGUGGUGGAUCACUGGUGGAAUUGCUCUGCUGCUGCUCUUGUACUCUCUUCAGCGACUGAUGUGUUCACUCAAUGAUGGCUUGACCUGUGGGAGAGUAAGGAAUGCCUGUUUUAUGGUUUACUCCCCAUUUUUGCAGGAACUCCUGGAAGGCCCUGGAGGUAUAUGUGGAACCAUUAUCUGCUUUAAUCAUUUUAGCGAUCCCCAACACAGAGAAGGCCUGCACUAAGUGUUUUUAUGCAUCUGUGGUCUUCUCUCCUGUGUGGGCAGAAGCAUAGACUGCUCCAGAGAAAGUAUCCACUGAAACGUGAACAUACCUCAGCCUGCCAGAUUGCGGGACGUGAGUCACAUCCAUAUGCCUCAUCUCACAGUUCUUGAGGCCUCUUGGAUUUACACCAGCACUCAAGGCUAUGAUUUAAUGCGAUUCAGUUUUGGAACAUCUGUUGCUCUUGCGACAUCAACUGGCAGCUGAUCAGUGACUGACUGAAGGCAUCGAUGUUCAGGUUCUUCUUCACAUCCUUCUAAAUCUCAAUAGAAAACAACUGAAAAAAAAAUGCUUCGGGGAAGAACGUUCAUGUGCUGGGUCGCGAAGCUGCGGCGGUGGAGAGAAAGGAAUUUCGCCAUCACACAGACGGAGCGGCUGCUUCUUCUCCUUCUCCCCUCUUUGUUGGUGGCCUCGCACCCCCUGUCCUGCCGGGACGUGUGGCAGUGCCAGCCACGGCCGUGGAGCU